CCCUGUCGGGUCAGCCCGGCUCUCCCUUGUCAUCUUGACCCCUAUCAUCUCUUCUGUGCAGGUCGGCUGAAGCACCAGGAACUGCAGGGAAGAUCGUCCGAAUGUAACCUGUAGGAUCUCGAGGACCGUAGGCCCGUGCAGGAAAAAUAAUCAAACGGUUAUCCAGAAGUUGGAAGCAGUUGAUGCGAUAUGAUACGGGAAAGGACGGCCCCCAUUUGAGAUUUGGAAGCAGUUGAUCCGAUAUGCUCACAGAAAAUCACUCCUCCUUCAAUAUCGGACUGUUUGCCGCAAUGCUGCAUGUGUGCUUCCUCCUGCAUUUCCAUGGCGAAACCCUAGACCUCUAGAAGGUUCCUUCAUUUACCUUCUUGAGGUUCCGAAAUCAAUCCAUUCGAUGAGAGCGAAGCUAGGUCAGUUUAUUUUGGAUGUCUAUUUUAACUAUAUUUUGACGAUCCGAGGGAUUUUUUGGUGAUUCUUCAAGCGUUUUAUGCAGAUCUGUUCUUCAAUUUCGUUAGAUCGACAUAUAGAUCAUGGUUAUUUUCUCUGUCUGAAUAUUAGGGUUUCCGCAAAUUAGUAGUAGUGUUGCGUUUUAUGCUUCUCCGAUUUCUGCAAAGAAGGUUUUUUUAUUUUGGGUUGUAGCAGGUUGAGAUCAGCAGCUCGUAUUCCUGAUUUCUUGGGCUCUAGGACUGCUGUUCGCUUUUGUUUGUUUCCAUGGCGGAGCACUUAGCUUCAAUCUUCGGCACUGAAAAGGACCGAGUGAAUUGCCCCUUUUAUUUCAAAAUCGGUGCUUGCCGCCACGGCGAUAGAUGCUCUCGUCUUCACAAUCGGCCCACCAUUUCCCCAACUCUUCUUCUAUCAAACAUGUACCAGCGGCCAGAUAUGAUCACCCCUGGUGUUGAUCCCCAAGGACAGCCUAUCGACCCUCGGAAGAUUCAGGAACACUUUGAGGAUUUCUAUGAGGACAUCUUUGAGGAGCUCAACAAAUUCGGUGAGAUAGAGAGUUUGAAUAUCUGUGACAACCUCGCAGAUCAUAUGGUUGGUAACGUUUACGUCCAGUUCAAGGAGGAAGAUCAAGCGGCUGCAGCUUUGCGGGCUCUGCAGGGGCGUUUCUACUCUGGCCGCCCAAUCAUUGUCGAUUUUUCCCCAGUGACUGAUUUCCGUGAAGCUACUUGCCGGCAAUUUGAGGAGAAUAGCUGCAAUCGAGGGGGAUACUGUAAUUUCAUGCAUGUGAAGCAGAUUUCAAGGGAAUUGAGGAGGAAGCUCUUUGGAAGGUAUCGUCGAUCAAGAGGUAGUCGUAGUCGCAGCAGGAGUGUGAGUCCUCCAUACCACCGUAGGGAAUCAGAUAGGCAUGGGGACUACCGUGAUCGGGACUACCGGAAUGGGAAUGGUUGGCGGAGCGGGGACAGAUAUGGAAGAUUCGACAACGACGGGGGAAGGCGACGGCAUGGGAGUCCAAGGCGAACCAGAAGCCCGAUAAGGGAAGGGAGUGAAGAACGGAGAGCAAGGAUCGAACAAUGGAACCGGGAGAGGGAGGAGAAUCUGCAGUGAUUGGGUUGUGAUGGUUGUUCCGUGGCUAUUUCUGUCUGCAGAGAAGUCAACAGGACAUGGAGCUCUUAUUGUCAUUGUUCUGCUAAUUGGUGCUGGUGGAGGAUGUUACAUAAAGAAUUCCUGGUGCUGCUUUGCUUUCUACUGUUUGCUGCCCUAAUCUGGUGGAUCGAUCUCCCUCACCUUUGACUUUCUGGGACUGAAGCUCUGGUCGUGGAUUCCCUAUCCUUGGGUGACUCACACCUUUGAGAGGGUACUUUGAAAUCCUUCACAGCUGUGAGAGCCAACACCUGCAACUGGCUGCAAUAACAUCUAUCAUCAGUUCUUGACUCAGAUCUUCUAUGUUGACUGCUGGGCUGUUCUUCCAAGCUGUUGGCUGUGGAAAACGAGAGAUCUUUGUGCUGCGACUCUUCCCCAGAAAUUUCAAAUCAAUCUGAGGUCAAACCAGCAAAGCAAUGAUGGAAAAAUUCUUAGAUGAGUCAAAAUGUUAAAGACUGUUUUGAGUGCCUCGCUCUCUGAAGAGAUUCCUCUUCUUGAGUUAAGACCUCUUUGCAAUUUCCCUUUGAAAUUCUCAGAAUUUACCAUAGUUUUGGUGCAACUUGUACCAUUCCUGACCCUCGAGUCCUGAAUCCUGAUGGAAGCAGAAGAAUAUCGAUUUCCGCCGGUGGAUGCUCUCUAGUCAAUUUGUACAGAUUGUAUUCUAUUUCUCUUACAUAGGCAAUUGAGAAAGAUAUGGCGGUUCAAUCGUCCUAUUGCAUUGGACUUCUAACUAAAUGAUCUGCCAGGGUGAGUCAUUUACAGCGGUUCUUAGAUCCUACUCUGGAAAAAUGCUGGUCAUGCUUGGGAGGUGAAGAUUGGGUUUUGGAUAGGAAUACAAGCCCUACCAGUGGAAAAAUGUUGCUGAUGCUAGGGAGUUGAAGAUUAGGGUUUGUCUAGAAUACAGGCACCAGCGAUGAUCAAGUCUGUUCAGUGAGAAUGUUUUCAGGAUCUGGGAUUAGGACUCUUGUUUUUGGGUUUAGACAUAUAUUGUAGUUACUGUUUACAGGAGCACUUGUUAUUUUGCAGCAGAGACCAGGGUUACAGGAUUAUCUAUCAUUGUCUGCCUGGUGAGAUGAUAUAAUCAGAUUUCUAGCUCCAGAUCCCAGGAAGAGGAUGCACUGAUGCAUGGUGUUCUGGCAAACCAAGUAUCCUCUUUGCUACCUAUUAGGCUUAGCUCUUGAGACUCUUGGGGAUCUGGUUCCCAUGGUUCUAUGUAUUGGUAUGCUAUAAGGGAUAUUGUUAUUGACGGGGCCUGAUACAGAUAAGGAUCGCCCAAACAUUCUGUUGUGAUCUA